ensembl:snRNA U6 U6 spliceosomal RNA
GUGUUUGCUUUGGCAGCACACGUAUUAAAAUUGGAAUGAUACAGAGAAGAUUAGCAUGGUCCCCUAAGCAAGGAUGACAAGCAUAUCAUGAAGCAUUCCAUAUUUUU